GUGUAGUUAAAAGUUUGGGUUUAAAAUUUUGGGUGUAGUUAGAAGUUUGGGUUUAGAAUGUUGGGUGUAGUUAGAAGUUUGGGUUUAGAAUGUUGGGUGUAGUUAAAAGUUUGGGUUUAGAAUGUUGGGUGUAGUUAGAAGUUUGGGUUUAGAAUGUUGGGUGUAG